AUUGAACGCUGGCGGCAGGCCUAACACAUGCAAGUCGAACGAGUGGCGGACGGGUGAGUAAUGUCUGGGAAACUGCCCGAUGGAGGGGGAUAACUACUGGAACCGGUAGCUAAUACCGCAUACCAUCGGAUGUGCCCAGAUGGGAUUAGCUAGGAGGUGGGGUAACGGCACACCUAGGCGACGAUCCCUAGCUGGUCUGAGAGGAUGACCAGCCACACUGGAACUGAGACACGGUCCAGACUCUGACGGGAGGCAGCAGUGGGGAAUAUUGGACAAUGGGCGCAAGCAUGAUGCAGCCAUGCCGCGGGUGUGAAGAAGGCCUUCGGGUUGUAAAGUACUUUCAGCGAGGAAGCGUUACUCACAGAAGAAGCACCGGCUAACUCCGUGCCAGCAGCCGCGGUAAUAC
rnacentral:rRNA from 1 species